CUGCACACAGUGCUCCUGAGCCCAAACCUUGUUGCACGUAGAAUGUUUUCCACUAUUACAACAUCCACAUUUGAAGAAUUUCUACAAUAUUCAAUAAUUUUUCUAAACUCUGAAGGCUUUAUUGAGCCAGUUCAUUACUGUCCCAGGACUACCUUACAGCCAGAUCCCAUGUGGCAUCACACAGCACUAAACUACUGGACUGUUCAUUGUAGGGCAGCCUUAAGAUGAGAAACAGGCUCUGGUUUGCGUCAUAUCGUCUUAAUUUAAUUCUGGCAUGUCAUCUCUGUCUAGAAGUGGAUCCUUUUCUCCUGGCGCUCCAGCUUGUUGAAAGCUGCUCUGAGCAUGAGACCCUCAGGAGUUCCUGAUGGCAGGGAGUGGUGUCUGAUCUGAAGAUUGAACCUAAGGCCUCACACAUGCCAAGGCAAGGAGACAAGUCUUCUGCCAUGGAGCUGUGUUUCAUCCCAGGAUCACGACAUUUUGGAGUGGGAAUAGAUCAAGAGACUAUCUACAGAGUUCAAGCAUGGAAUUGGGCUUCUGACAGGCUGCACACUCUCCACCAGUCGGCCUCCCACACCCCUGACUCUCUUUGAGAACAGUGUCCCUGUGGCCUGCUGUAUACACACAGAUGUUCACCUUUUUAACACAUUCACUUUGACUCAGAUCAUUUAACAAGCCAGAACUAUUCUGGUCUGUGAUGUGGGAGGUCCUUCUGUAUAUGUGUUGCUCUUAUUGGUUGAUAAAUAAAGAAGAUGCUUUGGCUUAUGGAAGGACAGAAUAAAGAUAUGUCAGAAAUCUGAACAGAGAUAUAGGGAGAGAGUAGCCAGAGUCAGGGGGAUGCCAUGUCGCUGCCA